rnacentral:lncRNA from 1 species
CAAGGUAUAAGGCCUCACAUUACGAGGCUUCUAGAUCAAGGCAUCCUAAUCCCCUGCCGGUCGCCUUGGAAUACGCCUCUUCUGCCUGUUAAGAAACCCGGCACUGGAGAUUAUAGGCCAGUACAAGACUUGAGAAAGGUCAACAAGAGGAUAGAAGAUAUUCAUCCGACUGUUCCAAACCCUUACAAUUUGCUCAGUAACUGUUCAUCGAUGAGAAACAGGGGUAUGCUAAAGGGGUCCUAACAC